GGAUGCCUUGGCAUGCUUAGCCGAUGAAGGACGUGUGAGGCUGCGUUAAGCCUCGGGGAGUUGCCAACAGUGCGUUGAUCCGAGGAUGUCCGAAUGGGGAAACCCAACACCAGUUGUGUGGUGUUACCUGCAGGUGAAUGCAUAGCCUGUGUGGAGGUGACGUGGGGAAGUGAAACAUCUCAGUACCCACAGGAGAAGAAAACAAUUUGUGAUUCCGUGUGUAGUGGCGAGCGAUAGCGGAUGAGGCUAAACCGUGUGCGUGUGAUACCUGGGUAGGGGUUGCGUGUGCGGUGUUGUGGGGUGUGAUCGUUGCGGGCUACCUGACCGUGAGAUGGUGUGUGUGCGUUAGCGGAAACGUCUGGGAUGGCGUGCCGGAGCGGGUGAUUAGCCCCGUACGUGAAGGCGUUGCAUAUGUUGUCUGAUCAUGUUUUCCCCGAGUAGCAGCGGGCUCGUGAAAUCUGCUGUGAAUCUGCCGGGACCACCCGGUAAGCCUAAAUACUAAGUGUGACCGAUAGUGAAUAAGUACCGUGAGGGAAUGGUGAAAAGUACCCCGGGAGGGGAGUGAAAGAGUUCCUGAAACCGUGCGCUUACAAUCCGUCAGAGCACCGUUUGUGUGUGAUGGCGUGCCUUUUGAAGAAUGAGCCUGCGAGUCAGCGGCAUGUCGCGAGGUUAACCCGUUAUGUGGGGUAGUCGUAGCGAAAGCGAAUCCUAAUUGGGUGUUGUAAGUGGCAUGUCCUGGACCCGAAGCGGGGUGAUCU
rnacentral:rRNA from 1 species